rnacentral:rRNA from 1 species
AAGACCUUGCGCUUUUGGAGCGGCCGAUGCCUGAUUAGCUUGUUGGUAAGGUAAAAGCUCACCAAGGCUUCGAUCAGUAGCUGGUCUGAGAGGACGACCAGCCACACUGGGACUGAGACACGGCCCAGACUCCUACGGGAGGCAGCAGUGGGGAAUUUUGGACAAUGGGGGCAACCCUGAUCCAGCCAUGCCGCGUGAGUGAAGAAGGCCUUCGGGUUGUAAAGCUCUUUCAGCCGGAACGAAACGGUUACGGAUAGCACCCGUGACUACUGACGGUACCGGAAGAAGAAGCACCGGCUAACUACGUGCCAGCAGCCGCGGUAAUACGUAGGGUGCGAGCGUUAAUCGGAAUUACUGGGCGUAAAGCGUGCGCAGGUGGUUUUGUAAGUCAGAUGUGAAAGCCCCGGGCUCAACCUGGGAACU